GACGAACGCUGGCGGCGUGCCUAACACAUGCAAGCCGAACGGAAAGGCCCUGCUUUCGUGGGGUGCCCGAGUGGCGAACGGGUGAGUAACACGUGAGUAACCUGCCCUUGACUUUGGGAUAACUUCAGGAAACUGGGGCUAAUACCGGAUAGGAGCUCCUGCUGCAUGGUGGGGGUUGGAAAGUUUCGGCGGUGGGGGAUGGACUCGCGGCUUAUCAGCUUGUUGUUGGGGUAGUGGCUUACCAAGGCUUUGACGGGUAGCCGGCCUGAGAGGGUGACCGGCCACAUUGGGACUGAGAUACGGGACAGACUCCUACGGGAGGCAGCAGUGGGGAAUAUUGCACAAUGGGCGGAAGCCUGGUGCAGCAACGCCGCGUGCGGGAUGACGACCUUCGGGUUGUAAACCGCUUUCGCCUGUGACGAAGCGUGGGUGACAGUAAUGGGUAAAGAAGCACCGGCUAACUACGUG
rnacentral:rRNA from 1 species